UUGAAGUUAUACAUUCUCCACAUAAUAAGUUAAACUAUGCAAGUUUUGCACCCGCGAAAUUUGACCAGUGUAUAACUCCCACCGAUAACCACCAUCAUUGUUUUUUUUUUCACGUUGUUGGUGUCAAUUUUGUCGAGGUGAAAUUGUAAUUAUUUGCGGCUAAAAUACGUGUGUGUCUCGCGCAAGAAGUUGGAUUUGAAACAUCAUUUGUUUCUAGACGAUAUGGGAAAAUAAAAGACACUUCCGAAGUGAUGAACGGCAAGGAAUCAUUGUUGCAGAUAUUCCGGGCAACAAUCCGAGACAGUUGUGCAAAAUGCUGAGCGGCAGAAGAGCGAAGUGGAAGGCAGAAAGAGAUCCUGAAGCACCUUGACCGGAACAUUUUAGUGAUAUUGAUUAAAGUAUGCGAAUGUACUCUUUCAACAUUGUGAUACGUAGAUUCUUCAUAAUAAAUAAAUGUGUCCGUUCCGUCCGUUUACUGGUCUUUCAUAGGAA
rnacentral:lncRNA from 1 species